CACCAUAGAUAUAUACAAACACUGUUUGUAUAUAUCUAUGUUUGACACCAUAAUGGUGGAGCAGGUAGUGCGGAAGCAGCGGAUGCGGUAGCGAGAGGCGAGACGCUAAGCUAAACUUGUUACGCGGUGUUGUAGUUUCUCGGUGGAAGAUAGGAGAUUUUGGAAAAUCGGCAGUUGGCAUAAUCUGGUUUGUGACUGGGACGGGAUGGCGUCCCAAGUGGACGGUGACAGUGACAUGGACGAAUUGAGUGACUUUGUUGACUUUUCAGGAUCAGGGCUGAGGGGAUCUGGGUUUAGGGGUCCGAGUCAGAGUCGCAAGCGUGGUUUGGAAAGUGUGAAUUCAGAGGAAGGGAGUUCAGGAAAUCGGAAAAGAGUAGUCAGAGAGCAGGUUAAUCCUAAAGUGAUCCUUAAGUUUAAAGAUGAGAGCAAUGUGGCAAGUUGUGGAAUAUUGACUUUAUCGAGGGAAUUAAAAAAGAAACUAGGUGAGGUUGUUUUUGCAAAAGUACUGAGGGAUGGAUGUCUUAUUAUAGUGUGCAAGUCUGAAGAACAGAAAAAUGCAGCGAUGCAGCUUGGAAGCAUUGGAAAGUUGGUUGUGAGUGAGCGUAAAGUUGUUGGUGAGAAGAAAGGGUCACGUGGAGUUAUUACAGGUAUUCCAUUCGAUGAGGACCUUGAGAAACUUAAAAGUAGUUUUGGGCCAGGAGUUGUAUCUGUUAAAAGGUUGAUGAGAACUGUUGAUGGCCAGAGAGUGCAGAGUAGGUCGAUUUUGAUUCAGUUUCAAGAUAAUGUGAUUCCUGAGAGAGUGAAAGUUGGCUGUUUGAGUUUCCCGGUUAGGGAAUAUGUACCACCUCCGCUUCGAUGUUAUUAGUGUCAGGUUUAUGGCCACAUAGCAGCGGUGUGCAGGGGCAAGCAGAAGUGUUCCAAAUGUGGAGGAGAUCACAGGAUUGAGGACUGUAUUGAAAAUGCCCCAGUGAAGUGUUGCAAUUGUGGAGGGCAGCACACUGUGACGUUUGGUGGGUGUGAGGUAAGAAAGAAGGCUGUUGAGGUUGAAAAGGUUAAAGUGGCAAAUAACAUUUCGUACGCAGAAGCUGUGAAGAAGGUUCACACGCAAAGAAAUGUUGGUAUGGAUGAGUCCAGAAUUGGCUCCAGUAGGGGUGAGAGAGGUAUUGUUUUGUCUGUAAAGGAUGUAGUGAUGUUUUUGUCCUACGUGAUUAAUUGUAAUGAGCAGGCAAAGCAUAAAGUGGAUAAGACCAAGAUGGUGGUAAAGGGUGCAGAGAUGUAUCUGGGUGCUAGAGGGGUGUCAUGGGAGCAGGUGUACAGGAGGCUGGAGGAGGAUAGUAAGAUGGGUGGAGCAAUUAGUGAGAAGACCUGAAUAUUCUUCAAUGGAAUGCCAGGAGCCUUGUUGCGAACGGACAGGAAUUUAAAGGAUAUGUGCAAUAUAGUGAGGUGAAGCCAGAUUUAAUUUGUAUUCAGGAAACUCGACUCAAACCCUCAUUAGAUUUUGUUAUUAGAGGAUACCAGUGUGUAUGAAGGGAUAGGGAAGGGGGAAAUGGUGGAGGAUGUGCUAUUUUUUAUUAAAGAUGGUGUUCAAUAUAGGGUGUUAAAUAAAGGGUAGGAUUUGGAGUUUAUUGUUAUUGAAGUGUGGGGUAAGGAGGGUAGGGUUGUUGUCAAUUUUUAUAAUCCAUGUAAAAAGUUGUCACUGGAAGAAUUGGAAGUUAUUAUGAAUUAUCUUGAGGGUAAAUGUAUUUGUUGUGUUGACUUUAAUGCUCACAGUACACUGUGGGGGGGGGGGGGGUCGUAAUGAUGAGAAUGGUGCAGUGGUUGAGGAGAUGAUGGAUUUAAAGAGUCUUGUUUGCCUGAAUGAUGGAAGUGGAACAAGGUAUGAUUUUAAAAGAGGAACAGAGUCAGCUAUUGACUUGACUUUAGUGUCUGAAAAUAUUGCUGGGAUUUGUAGUUGGAAAGUGGAUAGAGAGACAACUAUAGGGAGUGAUCAUCGCCCAAUUAGUAUAGAGGUGGGUGUAAAUAUUGAGAAUGUGGAUAUAGGGGGAGUGAGGAGGUGGUGCUAUAAAGACAUAGAUUGGAAUAGGUUUAGGAUAUUGUGUGACAAGGAAAUGGAAUGUAUUAAUGUGCAAUCUACUGUUAAUGAUUAUAAUUUGUCCUUUUGCAGGGCAAUUGUAAGAGCAGCAGAAAAGACGAUUAAAAGGAAGGAAGGCAGGCACAAGGGGAAGAUUGUGCCUUGGUGGUCUGAAGAUUGUAGUACUGUUAUUCGAGAAAGGAAUAAAGCUUAUAAGAGUCUUAAAAGAAAUCUGUCUUAUCAAAAUUAUAUUGAAUUCAAAAGGAAGGAAGCAGAGGCAAGGAAAGUAAUUAAAGGGACUAAAAGAGCUUAUUGGAGAGAAUACUGUGGGAAGUUGGGUAGGCAGACACCUAUAAGCCAAGUAUGGGGAACAAUUAAAAGAAUGUCAGGAAUUUAUAAAAGUUAUAACUACCCAGUAAUGAAAUAUGGUGAGCAGACGGUUGUUAGAAAUUCAGAUAAAGCAGAGCUGUUAGCUAAACAUUUUGUAAAAGUUCAUAGCAGUAGUAAUCUAAGUUUAGAGGAAAAGAGAGCAAGAGAGGAGACUGUGGGGAGUCAUAUUGAUAUGUUUGAGAAUGUAGGGGGCACUGAUAAUGUGAUUAAUACAGAAUUCACAAUGAAGGAGCUAAAUGACGCGUUAAGCAAGUGUGGUAAAACAACUCCUGGGAAAGAUGAAGUUAGUUACAGUAUGCUAAAGAAUCUUAGUGGUAAAUGUAAGAAUUUUUUGCUUGUUCUGUAUAAUAAAGUGUGGACAGAGGGCUAUUUGCCUGAACAAUGGAAGGAAGCUGUAGUUAUACCAAUCUGUAAGCCAGGUAAGGAUCCUUGUUUAGCUGAGAGUUAUAGGCCUAUUGCACUGACCUCCCAUGUGGGUAAAUUGAUGGAGAAAAUGGUCAAUGACAGACUUUGUUACUUUUUAGAAAAAUAUGAGUUACUUAAAAACCAUCAGUAUGGGUUUAGGAAGGGGAGGAGUACUUUGGAUCCUGUGGUUAUUUUGGAACAUGAAAUUAGGAAGGCCCAAGUGAAUAAGGAGAGUGUGAUUGCUGUUUUCUUUGAUGUGGAGAAAGCGUAUGAUAUGAUGUGGAGGGAGGGGCUAAUCAUAAGGUUGCAUCAGAUGGGAAUCCGUGGGAAGAUGUUGGGAUGGGUGAAAAGUUUUUUAAGUGAAACAUAAAUUUUAGUGCGAGUGGGGAAAGAUUUUAGUGCUAAGUAUGAUGUAGAAAACGGCACACUUCAAGGUAGUGUAGUAAGCCCAGUGUUAUUUAGUGUUAUGAUAAAUGAAAUAUUUUGUAAUGUUGAAGGUUAUGUAGGAUGUUCUCUUUUUGCAGAUGAUGGAGUAAUGUGGAAAAGGGGUAAAAAUAUUAAUUUUAUUGUGAGUAAAAUGCAGCAAGCUAUACACAAAGUGGAGGAAUGGACUAUAAGGUGGGGUUUUAGAUUUUCUGUCAGUAAGACAAAACAAUGUUUUUUACACGAAAAAAGGUUGAUCAAGUAAAUGUUAAACUGUAUGGGGUGAAUUUAGAAAAAGUAAGUGAAUUUAAGUAUUUGGGUAUAUGGUUUGAUCCAAGGCUAACAUGGGUGUUGCACAUUAGUAAAGUAGUGGAAAAAUGUAAGAAGGUGAUAAAUAUUAUGAGAUGUUUGAGGGCUCGGGACUGGGGAGCUAGCCGGAAUUGUCUUAAAGCAAUUUAUAUUGCUAUGGUCAGAUCAGUGAUAGAUUAUGGUUGUGUAGUUUACAGUUCAGCUGCCAAGACCAACUUGAAAAAGUUGGAAGUUGUUCAGAGUCUUGCAUUGAGGUUAUGCUGUGGAGCAAUGAAAACAACCCCAGUAGAUGCCAUUCAAGUGGAGAUGGGAGAGAUGCCAUUAGAUUUUAGAAGGAUGCAAUUAGCUCUGACUUAUUGGGCUAACUUACAGGGACAUAGACAAAGUCAUCCGGUGUUGAACGUGUUGCAGCCAAGUCAGGAAAAAGAGAAGGUGCAGAUUAAUAGCUUUGGAUGGGUAAUAGAAAGCAUGACACAAGAGUCCGGAAUAGAUCAACUUGAAAUAAGUCCAACGGUUUCAAUUUCUCUUACUCCUCCAUGGUUACUGACAGAAAUAAAGGUGGAUCUAAGCUUAUUGGAAAAGAAGUGUAAUAGUGGUUCUGUUAAUGAGUAUAUUUCUUAUGUUUAUUCAAAUGAUUUGGUAAUUUAUACUGAUGCGUCAAGGUCACUUACAGGUCAGGUUGGAGUGUCCUUUGUUAUUCCUGAAUUAGGCAUUGCUAUUAAUAAAAGAACAAGCGAGGCCGGAAAGAGGAGGAUGUCUUGUCACGAUUAAGACUCGGGCACACAGGGCUGAAUAGCACUCUGAGAAUUGUUGGAAAGCAUAAUACAGGGGAAUGUGAAUGCUGUAGAGUGGAGGAGAAUGUUGAGCAUGUAUUGAUUUAUUGCCCCAAGUUUCAGCAGUAGAGAAGAGUAUUCAAGAGGAAAAUCUGUAAUAGUAAAAUUAAAUUCGAGGUCAGGGAAAUUUUAAGUAAUUUAUCUUUGAAACAUGUUGCUAGAGCAUUGCUUUUAUUUAUGGAAAGAACAGGUUUAAGAGAGAGGGUUUAAGGACUGCUGGGGCCUUCCUGCCCCACACUCCAUUCCAGAAGGUGGCGGUAAUGCACCUAAAAGUUGCGUGCCAACUGCCGUUAAACAAAAAGAAGAAGAAGAAGACGACACCAUAGAUAUCUAUGGCUGAAUCCCAAACCGCCCCCUACACACUACCCCUCCGUUUGCGCGUUCCCGUGGAGGGUCCUCCAUAUUAAGGGCCGUCCCAAACCGCGUAGUGCGGAGGGAGAGUGGACUGUUCAGCCCUUAAAUAGCGAGUCUGCAUCGAUGCUCACUCUGGACAACUUUUUCAGGAAGUGCAACGUCGAAAUGGAGGAGGAAACAACAUAUCAAUCGCCUACGGGCUCCAUGAGGAACAUGUCAGUGACGAACAGCUGCAGGACCUGAGCGUCGAGCUGAAAACUGCCUUCACACAAGUUGGGUUCGUGUAUCUGAAGAACUCGGGGAUC